ACGGCGAGUGAACAGGGAAAAGCCCAAAUUUGUAAUCUGGCACUUUUUACAAGUGUCCGAGUUGUAAUUUGUAGAGCUGUUAUCCGUACUGGACCAUGUACAAGUCUGUUGAAAAGCAGCAUCAUUGAAGGUGAAAAUCCUGUAGAUGAUAUGGACUACCAGUAUAUUUGUGAUACGGUUUCUAAGAGUCGAGUUGUUUGGGAAUGCAGCUCAAAGUGGGUGGUAAAUUCCAUCUAAGGCUAAAUAUAAGUGAGAGACCGAUAGCAAACAAGUACCGUGAGGGAAAGAUGAAAAGAACUUUGAAAAUAGAGUUAACAGUACGUGAAAUUGCUGAAAGGGAAACGUUUGAAGUUAGUUUUGUAUUCGUUGGAUCAGCUUCGCAAGGAGUGUAUUCUGAUGAUAAGCAAGUCAACAUCAGUCUAUGAGUGUUGGAUAAGGGUUUUGAGAAUGUAGCAAUUUAAUUGUGUUAUAGCUUGAGACUUGGAUACGAUGCUUUGGAUUGAGGAACGCGUAGUAAGCUUUGAGCGGAUUCGAAAGGAUCUCCUUACUAUGGAUGUUGGUGAAAUAACUUUAAGCGACCCGUCUU
rnacentral:rRNA from 1 species